GUUCUAAGAUCAGAACCGUUUGUUCCUCUUCCAAUUAUUUAUUAAAAAAUAAUGAAAAAAUGGCCCAUGUACUUGGCCGACACACAUUAAAAUUUAUAUGUUUCCCUGUUUUUUGGGAUUGUUAGGACCUAGAAUCGUUUGUAUUUUAAUGGUUUGUCAAUUUUAUCGUUUGUUCUUGACAAUUUUCUAGUUAUUUAUUGUAAUUACAAUAAUCCAGUUCUGACUCGUAUACUGGCAACGGCGGACCACGGGUGGUACCUAAGAUGGCGGAAGAUACCACCUGCCAGCACCCUCCUUUUUUUAACAUUCCAUUAUCAAUAUUAAUCAUGAAGCAAAGGGUGCAAUAGUUCUUCAUAUCGGUUGAUUAUAAAUCUUUUCGUUCCAUAUAACAGUGAUUUAAAGUGUACAAAGUGCUCUCAAUAAAUUAAAUACAUCCGCCAUAACCUCCAAUUAAUACAUUUUGGAGCAGACCAGCUUAAUUGACAUGCGAUCAAAUUUUUUAACUCAAGUGAUCCGACGAAUACCCAUGAAAAUUCAUUGGAAAUUAGGAUAACAGUGAAGACAGGGAUGUUUUCCACGUUUCACCUCUUAGGACGAUUUUGGUCAUGGAAGUAAGGCCAACACUCUGAUCACUGGGACCUUUCUCAUUCGAAAUUAAGGAGUCCAAAUUUUCACACAUAGGAAUAUGCUAGAGGGACUGAUAGUGUACGCUUAGAAAGGGCUGACUCGCCAUUUUAUGGCAUCAGCGAUCCAUCCUGAUGGGUCCAAUCCAUUGACUUCAUCCAAAGCUUCGGUAGAAGGGCCCCGGGACUACAAGAAAAGGUCUUCGAUUUAGUCAACGUCUUAUACGCAUUAGGUGUCAAUACACAAGCUGAGAAGGACGAGGAGAACACCACGCAACUGAGCUACCACCAAUCAAGGACCAUUUUCUAUGUGAAGGGGUUGGCCCUUGACUCCAUCGUCAUUUACUACCCUGAGGAAUUCAACUGGCCAUUAAGAUGUCCAAUCAGUCCUUUAUAGUUGAGGCACUGUUGUUGAUUCUUUGCUUCUCAAUCAAAACCCUACGUUUCUCCAUUUUUCACCAGCAAUUAUUCGAUGUCAUGUAUAUGAGAAGUGAUUGCAGGAGAGACAACUCGGAGAAAAUUUUGGUACUUCACCGAAGCAAGGAAAUGCCAAUAUUUAUCUUCGCUGGUGACAAAAGAAAGGAAAAAUCAGCAAUAGAAUUAUGGAAAUGAGCUCAGUAUUUCACUUCCAGUCAACGAAAUAACAUCUCGCAUCCUUCGCUGAUUGGUGCAACACCUUGGAAAUUGGCGCAGAUUAUGGUAAAAGCACUAUGAUCUAUGAGCCUGCUAUUUUUCGUGGCUUCCUUAAAGAGACCUUUCUUUAUCAGAACACUGCACUAUAUUUAUAAUAGAUAUUAGAGCCUCCUUACCAAGUGCUUGUAUCCAGCUGAGGACAUUAAAAAUCAUAAUCGCGUAAAAUUCGUGUAAAAAUGAAAUUUUAGUUUUCAAAAAACUUGUCAUUGGAAAGUCGUAGAAAUUAACUCACAUGAAUAAUAAAUUGUAAUGACAAUAUA